GUGGUCUGGGUCUGUCAUUAUGCACCGAAGUCGUGUUAUUUACCAUCAAAUUUGACAACUUACACUAAAGUGUAAAGUAUCACUUUUAAUUACAACAAAAUGUAGAGCAAAAGUACAUAAGCAGUAUUUCAUGUAUAUCCAUCCAUCCAUUUUCUGUACCGCUUAUUCCCUAAUGCGGGGUCACGGGGUGCUGGAGCCUAUCCCAGCUGGCUAUGGGCGAGAGGCAGGGUACACCCUGGACAGGUCGCCAGUCCAUCGCAGGGCAACACAUAGACAGACAACCAUUCACUCACACACUCACACCUACGGGCAAUGGAGAGAAGCCAAUCAACCUAAUGCACGUCUUUGGACCGUGGGAGGAAGCCGGAGAACCCGGAGAGAACCCACGCAAACACGGGGAGAACGUGCAAACUUCACACAGAAAGGCACCAAAGCCGCCUCCGGGAAUCGAACCCAGAACCUUCUUGCUGUAUCAUUGGACUCAUUGGUGUCUGUGAUGGGCAGCUGCGGAUCCAACUAUCCUGCCUGUAUCCAGUCCCUGGUCCAACCAUCCUGCCUGUGCUCUGUUGUUGCUUGUUGUUGCUUGUUGUUGUUGUUGCUGUGCUUUUCUCUCUCUCUCUCCCCUCACCCCAACCGGUCGAGGCAGAUGGCCGCCCACAUCCAGUCUGGUUCUGCUGGACGUUUCUUCCUCGUUAGAGGGAGUUUUUCCUCUCCACUGUUGCUGUCAAAUUAAAUGCUUGCUGUAUGUGGGAUUUGUUGGGUUAAGUUGUGUAAGCUCUUAACCCUUACUUUGUAAAGUGCCUUGAGAUAACUUUGUUGUGAUUUGAAACUAUAUAAAUAAAAAAAAUUGAAUUGAAUAUUUAAGCACCAGUACUUACCUGAAUUCUCUGCCAGAUCGUUGAUUUUGUUCCGUUCCAGCAUUCUGUUACUUGUCUACCUGUUACCCCUCCGUCAGAUUGCCUGUCUCGCCUUCUGGAUUCUCCCUGUCGGUUCUGUAGCCUGGAUCUUUUGUCGUGUAUGAUCUCCUGCCUGUUUUGACCCGUUUACCUGCCUGCCGUCUCGUACCGUUGCCAAUCUGUCUUCCUGUUUUUGACCUGAGCACUAUUAAAGUGUUUUAUCUGCACCUACA